CUAAGUUUCCUGUUAACACUC
rnacentral:siRNA from 1 species